AGCUUUGUGCAGUGACAAUAUCAUAACCAAUGAGGUUUAGCAAGGCACAAUUAUUGCUAAUUGAAAAGCAUUUGAUUCUUUUCAUUUGUAAUUCUUUAAAACUGAACAUGCAAGCUUCUUGAAUAUUUGUAUGAGU
ensembl:snRNA U4 U4 spliceosomal RNA